rnacentral:rRNA from 1 species
CCUAGGGAGGCUGCAGUGGGGAAUAUUGGACAAUGGGCGAAAGCCUGAUCCAGCCAUGCCGCGUGUGUGAAGAAGGCCUUCGGGUUGUAAAGCACUUUCAGUGGGGAAGAAAGCCUUGGGGCUAAUACCCUCGAGGAAGGACAUCACCCACAGAAGAAGCACCGGCUAACUCCGUGCCAGCAGCCGCGGUAAUACGGAGGGUGCGAGCGUUAAUCGGAAUUACUGGGCGUAAAGCGCGCGUAGGCGGUCUGAUAAGCCGGUUGUGAAAGCCCCGGGCUCAACCUGGGAACGGCAUCCGGAACUGUCAGGCUAGAGUGCAGGAGAGGAAGGUAGAAUUCCCGGUGUAGCGGUGAAAUGCGUAGAGAUCGGGAGGAAUACCAGUGGCGAAGGCGGCCUUCUGGACUGACACUGACGCUGAGGUGCGAAAGCGUGGGUAGCAAACAGGAUUAGAUACCCCAGUAGUC